CUACGGGAGGCAGCAGUGGGGAAUCUUGCGCAAUGGGCGAAAGCCUGACGCAGCAACGCCGCGUGCGGGAUGACGGCCUUCGUGGUUGUAAACCGCUUUCAGCAGGGACGAAAAUGACGGUACCUGCAGAAGAAGCCCCGGCUAACUACGUGCCAGCAGCCGCGGUAAUACGUAGGGGGCGAGCGUUGUCCGGAUUCAUUGGGCGUAAAGAGCUCGUAGGCGGUUCAGUAAGUCGGGUGUGAAAGCUCCGAGCUCAACUCGGAGAAGCCACCCGAUACUGCUGGUGACUUGAGUCCAGUAGAGGAGCGUGGAACUCCUGGUGUAGCGGUGGAAUGCGCAGAUAUCAGGAAGAACACCUGCAGCGAAGGCGGCGCUCUGGGCUGGAACUGACGCUGAGGAGCGAAAGCGUGGGUAGCAAACAGGAUUAGAUACCCUAGUAGUCC
rnacentral:rRNA from 1 species